CGUGAGUAACCUGCCUUGGAGUGGGGAAUAACAACAGUGAAAACUAGCGCUAAUACCGCAUAAUGCAUUUGGGUCGCAUGAUUCUGAAUGCCAAAGAUUUAUCGCUCUGAGAUGGACUCGCGUCUGAUUAGCUAGUUGGCGGGGUAACGGCCCACCAAGGCGACGAUCAGUAGCCGGACUGAGAGGUUGGCCGGCCACAUUGGGACUGAGACACGGCCCAG
rnacentral:rRNA from 1 species